rnacentral:rRNA from 1 species
AAAUUGAAGAGUUUGAUCAUGGCUCAGAUUGAACGCUGGCGGCAGGCCUAACACAUGCAAGUCGAACGGUAACAGGAAGCAGCUUGCUGCUUUGCUGACGAGUGGCGGACGGGUGAGUAAUGUCUGGGAAACUGCCUGAUGGAGGGGGAUAACUACUGGAAACGGUAGCUAAUACCGCAUGACGUCGCAAGACCAAAGAGGGGGACCUUCGGGCCUCUUGCCAUCGGAUGUGCCCAGAUGGGAUUAGCUAGUAGGUGGGGUAA